UACGUAGGGUCCGAGCGUUGUCCGGAAUUACUGGGCGUAAAGAGCUCGUAGGUGGUUUGUCACGUUGUUCGUGAAAACCCACAGCUCAACUGUGGGCGUGCGAGCGAUACGGGCAGACUAGAGUACUGCAGGGGGAGACUGGAAUUCCUGGUGUAGCGGUGGAAUGCGCAGAUAUCAGGAGGAACACCGGUGGCGAAGGCGGGGUCUCUGGGCCGAUACUGACGCUGAGGAGCGAAAGCAUGGGUAGCGAACAGG
rnacentral:rRNA from 1 species